rnacentral:piRNA from 1 species
UGCUAUGCAGUCACCUUGGGGCUAGACC